rnacentral:lncRNA from 1 species
GAUUAACAUCAAAGGAUUUCCCCCAGCCAGUCUGGCUUCUGUUUGUCUCAUAUCCCGUGGCCACGUGGAAGGGAUGGAGACGUCAGGAUAUUUUGGAUCCCUGUUUUUAUGGGGCAUGGAAGAGCCCUUGAAAAACACCCACGGAGCGCAGACAUCCUGCCCCGAGCUCGGAUGAAAAGUCCUUGAUUGGAGGUUUCUUCCCAUUUUCCCUCUUGAUCCAUAGGAAAAGCGGCUCCUCUGACGUGUUUGUCAAUGCCUCGGGAAGAGGGAAUGAGCGCAAUUAGCUUGGGAAUUGUUGCGGAAUAAAGGUCAGCUCGUUAGCGCA